AAGGCUUUAUCUUAAUAAAAGAAUUUGAGUUGCAUUCAGAAGAUGAGGAUUAGAUCUCCUCAGGUCUUA
rnacentral:tRNA from 1 species